rnacentral:rRNA from 1 species
UACGUAGGGCGCAAGCGUUGUCCGGAAUUAUUGGGCGUAAAGAGCUCGUAGGCGGCUUGUCACGUCGGGUGUGAAAGCCCGGGGCUUAACCCCGGGUCUGCAUUCGAUACGGGCUAGCUAGAGUGUGGUAGGGGAGAUCGGAAUUCCUGGUGUAGCGGUGAAAUGCGCAGAUAUCAGGAGGAACACCGGUGGCGAAGGCGGUUCUCUGGGCCUUACCUGACGCUGAGGAGCGAAAGCGUGGGGAGCGAACAGG